AUGAACGCUGGCGGCGUGCCUAAUACAUGCAAGUCGAGCGAACGGACGAGAAGCUUGCUUCUCUGAUGUUAGCGGCGGACGGGUGAGUAACACGUGGAUAACCUACCUAUAAGACUGGGAUAACUUCGGGAAACCGGAGCUAAUACCGGAUAAUAUUUUGAACCGCAUGGUUCAAAAGUGAAAGACGGUCUUGCUGUCACUUAUAGAUGGAUCCGCGCUGCAUUAGCUAGUUGGUAAGGUAACGGCUUACCAAGGCAACGAUGCAUAGCCGACCUGAGUGGGUGAUCGGCCACACUGGAACUGAGACACGGUCCAGACUCCUACGGGAGGCAGCAGUAGGGAAUCUUCCGCAAUGGGCGAAAGCCUGACGGAGCAACGCCGCGUGAGUGAUGAAGGUCUUCGGAUCGUAAAACUCUGUUAUUAGGGAAGAACAUAUGUGUAAGUAACUGUGCACAUCUUGACGGUACCUAAUCAGAAAGCCACGGCUAACUACGUG
rnacentral:rRNA from 1 species